rnacentral:lncRNA from 1 species
GCCGUCGCCGUCGUUUGGUGUACGCGCGACGCGAACCGCCACGUGUUAUCUCCGCGUACCGACUCGAAGAGAUUAAAACGUUUACGAUUUUAUGAUAUCGGCGGGUCGCGCUCGCAACGAAAACUGCAAAGGGCGUUUUUCCAGGAGCCGGUCGCCUUUCGGUUUUCUCCGUGAUUUAGGGGCGGCCGUGCGCUGUGCAAUGUGAAAAUAUAAUUAUAAAUAUUAGUAUUUGAGAACGCCACUGUCGUUUACUAUACUAAUUCAGUAAAAACCAAGAGCGGGCACGUGCCACGUGAACGCGGUGAAAGUCAAUCGGACAGGUUGGUUUAGGUGGCUCAGCCAGAGCGCGUAAUUGACACUACAGCCAAUGAUAAUGCCAUAUCAGUAGCCACCCCCAAUCGGCUCAAAAAAAAUAUCUAAAAUACUUUCUGGAGCUUAUGUCACGUUUUGGCGGAAAUGAGUCGUACAAAAUUUUCUGGCGGUAAAAUACGGACGUAUAUCGACAAUAGUUGUUGUGAGAUAAAGGAGGACCGUCAACGUUGUUCGAAAAAUUCCUAUUGCAAUAUCAAAGUAUCAAAAAGACCCGAAAAUGUGUUUUAUCCGUAUAAUUUCCCGAAAUUGAUUAGAACCGUGAUCGGCGCUUUUCGGCCCGAACAAUGCACGAUACGAAUUGGAAGAGCGCAAGAAAUAGGCGAAACUAUAUUGGGAUACGGCGGGAAAAUUGGCGGGCGGGUACAAUACGGGCAGACUAAACGCGUUGAUCAUGCGGAUCAUUUUGGGUUCGUUCCAGCCGGUGCCUCCUGCAGUCGUAACACCCGACCGGAUUGUUACCUUUUGAACGGUACGAAAAACGCGGUUUACGUAAUAUUUCCUUUAUACAAACACACCGUGGUAAUAUUAUGUACCGUACGAGCGGUUUGUCUUUAAAGUUUUCGGCGAGGGGAGGAGAACACGACUAGGUAUCGAUUAAAGUCAAGCAAUAAUACACGUGUAGCGGCGGCGACGGUGGUGACUGCAGUUUUUGUUGUUCACCCUCUCUAAUACAGUGAAAUACGCGUAAACGUAUUUAUGCAGGUAAAGGUAUAUAUAAAAAAAAAAAAAAAAAAGUAAGUCUAUAUAGGUAUAUACGUGUGCCAUUUGUUUGGCUUCAGCAACCAUCGGAAAAUCACCCUAAUUUUUUUUUUUUUUUUUGCUUCCAUAUCGAUUUAUAUACUCGUUCCCCUAAACAAUAUGUCAUAGAUAUACAUUAUGUUAUGUAUUAUACGAUGACGGUGGUGAACUGUGCAGUGUUUUUGUAGUUGUGUGUGUGUGUAGUAUAAUAGCGGUAUGGCUGUGGCAGCGGUAUGGUUGUUGUUUGCCAUAUUUUCGUGGUUAUUUUUCGAUAAUGUGCCAACGCUGCCGGUAACUACCUUGGCGCGCGCACCUUUCACUAAAACCAUUAGUUAUUACGAAGCUCACGAACCCUGCGCCAGACCCCGGGGUCGUAAUAUUCAUCCCCUCGACCACCCUAUAUAUAUAUAUAUUAAUGACAGUAUCGUGGGCAGGCAUUAUAUUGUUCUAUAAGUUCCGUGCGUUGACUUUAGGGUGCGCUAAAAAACAAUAUACAUUUUCGUAUGGGUCGCGAUGUAAAACUGCAGGUAUAGGGCGCGUUCGUAUAGGUAAUUCGCAUCGAACAAAAAAAAAAAUAAAAUAAUAAUAACAAAAUAAAAUAAAAAUGAAACACGUCAUAAUAUUAUUGUAGCCAAUCGAAAAUAAACCCGGUACAGUAAAUUAACAUAUUAUAAAUACGACUAGACAUUUAAUACCAAUAAUAGUUUUACAUAAUUUUUUUUUUCAAUAUAGAUUAUUUUUUAAAACCCGUAUGGUAUUUGUCCGCGCUAAGACUGCGAAAUGAUUUUCGGUUUGGGUAUAAUAUUUCAACGGUUAAAGUCGGACAAUAGUUACGUAUAGGUAUAAAUAAUAGUGUUACGUGUACAGUUGUUCCCGGUCUAUCUACGGAUAUUCUCGCGAUAUACCUGUGUGUGACGAGGGUGGUGUAUUUUUUUUCGGUUUUAAAUCUAAAAUCUCGUAUGGGCUUUCAUAAUUUCUGUACUACUACCCGAUGCAGCCAUAUAGUGAUGGUCGCACCCCGAUUAUGCAUCAUUCCACCUAUCUACCUACACUUACACAUUGUUCACACGAAACAUAAAUCCGGAUUAGGUUACACUCGGGAUUAUAAUACGUACGAGUACAUACUGCGGGUGCGUGAUCUGUUGUGACGACGCCCGCGUUUAUCUCUAAGAUAAAUAAUCUGAUAAAGGCACAAUUGCAAGCAUAUAUAUAUAUAAUAUUAAUUUUUUUUUUAGUUUCCAUAGCAGAACGAGUAAUCGUAUAUAAUUAUUUCGAUAAAGAGUGGUGCGGAAUACAAUAAGUUUUAAUCGGAAAAAAAAAUAAUUUCAACAACAAUAUUUGAUCGUAAAACAAAAUAUACAUUUUUUUUCUUUUCGUUCAUUGCACUAUUGUAUUUUAUCCAGAUAUCCAGAUAGUUGUCAAUGAGUUGUCUGAGUAUAAAUAACCGAAUCAUCUAUACAGAUGUAUCUUUUUGAACCAUAACUAUUAUAUUGCUUAGAAAUAAAAAGUAAACCGUUCACUGUUGGUUUGAAUAUGGUUUUGGUUUAAUAAAUAAAUUAUCGAGUUACAUCAAUCGCACGACCUUUUUAAAAUCUACGUGUAGACUUGCAGACACCGAAUUCGGUACACUUUCAACACUUUUAGUGGGUAUAUUUAGUUGUACGACGAUAGAAAUUGAACACAAUAAUCGUAUUUUCCUUUUGUUUUGAUAAAAAGUUGCUUGUUAUUUAUCAUUAUCUAGUUCAUUAUUCUAGACGUUAUCUCUUAUCUUUAUCUGGAUAUUUGUAUAUGUAUGUAAAACACUGUUCAUUACGCAGGUAAGUACGUAUCGGUAAACGAUUCGAAGCCCGAAAUUCGGAAUUCACCGUCUGGCCGUAAACGGGAAACACGAAUACAUUAUUUGUUCACAUAUAUUUAUACAGUAGUACAGACAAAAUAGGAAAAUAUAUCGCCG